rnacentral:rRNA from 1 species
AUUGAACGCUGGCGGCAGGCUUAACACAUGCAAGUCGAGCGGGGUGAUGGUGCUUGCACUAUCACUUAGCGGCGGACGGGUGAGUAAUGCUUAGGAAUCUGCCUAUUAGUGGGGGACAACAUCUCGAAAGGGAUGCUAAUACCGCAUACGUCCUACGGGAGAAAGCAGGGGACCACUUGUGACCUUGCGCUAAUAGAUGAGCCUAAGUCGGAUUAGCUAGUUGGUGGGGUAAAGGCCUACCAAGGCGACGAGCUGUAGCGGGUCUGAGAGGAUGAUCCGCCACACUGGGACUGAGACACGGCCCAGACUCCUACGGGAGGAAGCAGUGGGGAAUAUUGGACAAUGGGGGGAACCCUGAUCCAGCCAUGCCGCGUGUGUGAAGAAGGCCUUAUGGUUGUAAAGCACUUUAAGCGAGGAGGAGGCUACUCUAGUUAAUACCUAGGGAUAGUGGACGUUACUCGCAGAAUAAGCACCGGCUAACUCUGUGCCAGCCGCCGCCGUAA